rnacentral:misc_RNA from 1 species
AGCCGCCUUCCAACGGUAUAGAAACUUUGCGUAAAUACUUACUGAUGUUUUAAAUAUUUCUCCAUUACCGGGUGUUGUCCUAGAUUGAUUUAUGUGUCCACCAAGAAGGAAUAGUUCCUUUCUGUGAUCUGUAAUGCAUGAACUAUUUAAACUGAAUUUAGAUGUUUGAUGAUCAGUUGAUUAAUUAUUGGCAACACCUGUGAAGCAUAGAAAUGCAUCUGGAGCAGUACUUCAACGUUUCUGAUGUGUUUCUGAAACGGAAACUCUUGGAUGCAUAUGAUAUGUCCCUGGACCUUUUUUGCAGUUUGUGAAAAAUUGG